rnacentral:rRNA from 1 species
GAUGAACGCUGGCGGCGUGCCUAAUACAUGCAAGUCGAGCGAACAGACGAGGAGCUUGCUCCUCUGACGUUAGCGGCGGACGGGUGAGUAACACGUGGAUAACCUACCUAUAAGACUGGGAUAACUUCGGGAAACCGGAGCUAAUACCGGAUAAUAUAUUGAACCGCAUGGUUCAAUAGUGAAAGACGGUUUUGCUGUCACUUAUAGAUGGAUUCGCGCCGCAUUAGCUAGUUGGUAAGGUAACGGCUUACCAAGGCGACGAUGCGUAGCCGACCUGAGAGGGUGAUCGGCCACACUGGAACUGAGACACGGUCCAGACUCCUACGGGAGGCAGCAGUAGGGAAUCUUCCGCAAUGGGCGAAAGCCUGACGGAGCAACGCCGCGUGGGUGAUGAAGGUCUUCGGAUCGUAAAACUCUGUUAUUAGGGAAGAACAAAUGUGUAAGUAACUAUGCACGUCUUGACGGUACCUAAUCAGAAAGCCACGGCUAACUACGUG